UACGAAGGGUGCAAGCGUUACUCGGAAUUACUGGGCGUAAAGCGUGCGUAGGCGGCUCGUUAAGUCUGAUGUGAAAGCCCUGGGCUCAACCUGGGAAUGGCAUUGGAAACUGGCGACCUAGAGUGCGGUAGAGGGUAGUGGAAUUCCCGGUGUAGCAGUGAAAUGCGUAGAGAUCGGGAGGAACAUCUGUGGCGAAGGCGACUGCCUGGACCAGCACUGACACUGAGGCACGAAAGCGUGGGGAGCAAACAGG
rnacentral:rRNA from 1 species